CUUUGGGAUAACCCUCGGAAACGGGGGCUAAUACCGGAUAUGACCUUUCCUCGCAUGAGGGUUGGUGGAAAGUUUUUCGGCCUGGGAUGGGCUCGCGGCCUAUCAGCUUGUUGGUGGGGUGAUGGCCCACCAAGGCGACGACGGGUAGCCGGCCUGAGAGGGCGACCGGCCACACUGGGACUGAGACACGGCCCAGACUCCUACGGGAGGCAGCAGUGGGGAAUAUUGCACAAUGGGCGGAAGCCUGAUGCAGCGACGCCGCGUGAGGGAUGACGGCCUUCGGGUUGUAAACCUCUUUCAGCAGGGACGAAGCGCAAGUGACGGUACCUGCAGAAGAAGCGCCGGCCAACUACGUGCCAGCAGCCGCGGUAAGACGUAGGGCGCGAGCGUUGUCCGGAUUUAUUGGGCGUAAAGAGCUCGUAGGCGGCUUGUCGCGUCGACCGUGAAAACUUGGGGCUCAACCCCAAGCCUGCGGUCGAUACGGGCAGGCUAGAGUUCGGUAGGGGAGACUGGAAUUCCUGGUGUAGCGGUGAAAUGCGCAGAUAUCAGGAGGAACACCGGUGGCGAAGGCGGGUCUCUGGGCCGAUACUGACGCUGAGGAGCGAAAGCGUGGGGAGCGAACAGGAUUAGAUACCCUGGUAGUCCACGCUGUAAACGUUGGGCGC
rnacentral:rRNA from 1 species